rnacentral:rRNA from 1 species
AUGAUGGAGAGUUUGAUCCUGGCUCAGGACGAACGCUGGCGGCGUGGAUUAGGCAUGCAAG